rnacentral:rRNA from 1 species
UACGGAGGAUGCGAGCGUUAUUCGGAUUUAUUGGGUUUAAAGGGUGCGUAGGCGGGCUGUUAAGUCAGCGGUAAAAGCCCGGGGCUCCAACCCCGGCGAGCCGUUGAAACUGGCAGACUUGAGUUGGCGAGAAGUACGCGGAAUGCGCGGUGUAGCGGUGAAAUGCAUAGAUAUCGCGCAGAACUCCGAUUGCGAAGGCAGCGUACCGGCGCCCAACUGACGCUGAAGCACGAAAGCGUGGGUAUCGAACAGG